GAUGAACGCUGACAGAAUGCUUAACACAUGCAAGUCAACUCGAACUUCGGUUUGGGUGGCGGACGGGUGAGUAACGCGUAAAGAACUUGCCUCACAGAUAGGGACAACAUUUGGAAACGAAUGCUAAUAGCUGAUAUUAUGAUUAUAUGGCAUCGUAUAAUUAUGAAAGCUAUAUGCGCUGUGAGAGAGCUUUGCGUCCCAUUAGCUAGUUGGAGAGGUAACGGCUCACCAAGGCGAUGAUGGGUAGCCGGCCUGAGAGGGUGAUCGGCCACAAGGGGACUGAGACACGGCCCUUACUCCUACGGGAGGCAGCAGUGGGGAAUAUUGGACAAUGGACCAAGAGUCUGAUCCAGCAAUUCUGUGUGCACGAUGAAGUUUUUCGGAAUGUAAAGUGCUUUCAGUUGGGAAGAAAAAAAUGACGGUACCAACAGAAGAAGUGACGGCUAAAUACGUG
rnacentral:rRNA from 1 species